CAAUUCCCAUCUCUUUAGGUCCCCGAUCCCCUCUGUUCCAUUUUCCCCCAUUCUCAUCUCUUUGAGAUCCCAGUUCCUCUCUAUCUGACAUCUCCAGUCUCUUGUCAGCCCUAUUCCCCCCGCUCUGGGUCCCCCAAGUUCCUGCCCUGUCCCUGUGUCCAUCCCCAGCCCUGAGCUCCUCCAUGGGCAGAGGCGCACACAGACCUUGGCAGCCAUGGGGGUGGGGGCAGACCCAGGGCCAACCAGGGGGCUCGGAUGGGGACACCCAGUUCUGCAGUUCCUCAUGGCUGCCCUAUGGCUCUUCUUCCCUAGGCAUUGCCGUCUGAUGCUGUUGAAUUUCCUCCUCCUGUGAGUUGAGGGGUGACCCUGGGGCAAGGACGGGGCUGGGAUGUGUUGCUGUCGUCUCUGUUCCCCUGGGACUUGGGGACACCCCUGGGGCUCCAAGGCAUCUGUCGGGCUCCCUCCUACUUCGGGUGGUCAAUGGGCAGGGGAAGGAGGCAACAGGGAGUAGUUGGGGCUGAGCAGACUACAGGACCACAGUGUUCUAGAGCCCACAAUGGGUCCCUGCACCUUCAGGGUGUCCCUGUGUGUCCCAUUGCCCCCAGCAUGUCCCACUGUCCCAUUACUCUCAGUGUGUCCCUAACACCCCCUUUCUCCCCAGGACAAUCUCUUCAGUACAGAGGAGAAUCCCCUGCAUGUGAGACGUGUGGCCCUGGAUCUGCGUGUCUAGGGACAAGGCUUCUCCUCACCGCCAAUGCCCUUGGACAUCUUCUGAUGACCAGUGCUGCCCUCUAAUGACCAAUGACAGCCUCUGAUGACCGAUGAAGACCCUGAUGAUCAAUGACCCCCUCUGAUGAUCAUUAAAUCCCUCGGCAAAUCUAUACUCUGUGUUUCUGUGUCCUUGUCCUCACGCUCAGCAGGGACUACUCAGGUCUGCCUCUGCCUGGCAGUGGCCACCCCAAAGUGCUGGGAGGGGUCCCCAGCUCCAUGCCACACACGCCAUGUCCUAUGUCUCUGUGGGCUUCCCCACCCUCUCUCGUCAUCUGAUCCAAAAUCCUAAAGGACGGAGCUGCUCACGCUGCUGAGCAGCUCCAAUACCCUCCCUCUGCUCUCUCCCUACUUGUCCUUCCAGUUCCGCCCAAGGGACGGAAUUUACUGACGUAAGGGGAGAGUAAAAACAGCAGUAAGGUGAGAGUACAGCCUGAGUAGAGUAAGAGUAAACCCGGUGCAAAGCGUGAGUAAAAGCAGGGGGAAAGUAAGGGUAAAGAUGGACUAAAGUGUUAGUAAACGCGAGUAAACAGUUUGUAAACCCAGAGUAAAUUGUGAAUACAUCCAGAGUAGAAGGGUGAGUAAAUCCUCAGUGAGGACUGAGUAAACCCUGUCAUGGUUUUGUAACUUCGCUAUUGGUAUUCCACAUCAUAACAUCAUGGACAAAAGAGAAGAACUAUGUGUCCCAGAGGACCUCAUGGUCAGAGAAGGAAGAGACAUCACAGAAGAUACAUCAUCUGGUUGCAUGUGGUCUUUUUCACUUUCACUUGCUGCCAGGGAGAGGAGUGGGUGUGCUUCCAAGCUGUGCGCCUUCAUCAAGUAGGGCUUUCGGUUUCUGAAACUCUCUCUCUCUCUCACACUCUUUCGCUCUCUCUCAUUUCAUUUGAUUUAUUAUCCUUACUUCCAAUUAGAUUGUAUUAUACUGUGUCAUCUUGCAUUCCAACAUCGUAGUUAGUAAAAUAAGUUCUCCUUCUUAGAUCAUUGCCGUUUUUUUUCUCAGGAAGCCGGGGGGGGGGGGGGGGGGGGGUGCGAGCCUACUGCCCCCCUGUCACGGGCACAGAUCUAUCUAGAUAACUCCGUGACAAACCCGAAGGAAAGUGAGAGUAAAACCAGAGUAGAGAGUGAGUGAAUCCGGAGUCAAGUGUAAGUAAGCGUGCAGUAAAGUGUGAGUAAAACCCAGAGUGAAUUGACAGUAGACCCAAAGUAGAGAAUGAGUACACCCUGAGUAAGGUCUGAUUAAACCCGAAGUAAAGUGUGAGUAAACCAGUAGCAAAUUGUGAGUGUACCUGGGGAAGAGUGUGAGUAAAACCUGGAGAAAAGACUGAGUAAACCACGAAAAAAGUGUGAGUAGAACAUGAGUAAACUGUGUAAAACCCAGAGAAAGGUUUGAGUAAAACCAGGAGUAAGGUGUGAAUGCACACGGAGUAGAGUAAGAGUAAACCCAGACUAAAGGUAGAGUAAAACUCAAUGUAAAGUGUGUGAAAAGUUGGUAUAAAGUGUGAGUAAAACCAGCAGAAAAAUAGGGGUAAACCCUGAGUAAUACUUCAGAUCACCUGAAAUGAAGAAUGAGUAAAAACCUGGAGUAAACUGAGAGUACACAUGGAGUAGACAGUGAGUACACCCUGAGUAAGGUCGAAAUAAUCCUGGAGGAGAGAGAGUAAACCCGGAGUAAAAUGUUAGCAAACAUGGAGUAAAGUGUGAGUAAAACCCGUAGUAAAUUCUGAGUACACCUAGAUUACAGAGUGCUUAAACCCAGAGUAAAGCAUGAAGUAAGAAAACUGUGAGUAAUAUGAAUAAAACUGUGAGUAAUAUAAAAAUGUGAGUAAUAAAGGAAACUGAGUAAGAUCGAGAGUAAAUUGUGAGUACACCCAAAGUAAGAGUAAGGGUAAACCUGGAGUAAAGAGUGUGCAAACCCAGUGUAAACUGUUAGUAAAACAGAGAAAAAUGUAAGAAUAAAUGCAGAGUAACAUGGGAGUAAACCAUGAGUAAAAUAUGAGUAAAGUCUGGUGAAAAUUACAAGUAAAAUACUGUGUAAAGUGUGGGCACACACGGAGUAAACUGGGAGUAAAACUGAAGUAAAGUGUGAGUGAACCCAGAGUAAACUGAGUGAACCUGGAGUCAAGAGUGAGAAAAAAAAGAGUAAGGUGUGGGAACACACAGAAUAAAGUGUUGGUGUAUCCAGAGAAAAGUAAGAGUAAACCCAGAGUAAAGUGUGAGAGUAAAAUCUGAGAUAAAGUUU
rnacentral:lncRNA from 7 species